rnacentral:rRNA from 1 species
UUACCGAGUUUACAACUCCCAAACCCCUGUGAACAUACCAAUUGUUGCCUCGGCGGAUCAGCCCGCUCCCGGUAAAACGGGACGGCCCGCCAGAGGACCCCUAAACUCUGUUUCUAUAUGUAACUUCUGAGUAAAACCAUAAAUAAAUCAAAACUUUCAACAACGGAUCUCUUGGUUCUGGCAUCGAUGAAGAACGCAGCAAAAUGCGAUAAGUAAUGUGAAUUGCAGAAUUCAGUGAAUCAUCGAAUCUUUGAACGCACAUUGCGCCCGCCAGUAUUCUGGCGGGCAUGCCUGUUCGAGCGUCAUUUCAACCCUCAAGCCCUCGGGUUUGGUGUUGGGGAUCGGCGAGCCCUUGCGGCAAGCCGGCCCCGAAAUCUAGUGGCGGUCUCGCUGCAGCUUCCAUUGCGUAGUAGUAAAACCCUCGCAACUGGUACGCGGCGCGGCCAAGCCGUUAAACCCCCAACUUCUGAAUGUUGACCUCGGAUCAGGUAGGAAUACCCGCUGAACUUAAGCAUAUCAAU